CCGCGCCCGCCGUCUUCCCACGGGAGAGAGCAGCGCGGCCCCCCCCCCACACACCCCCAGGGGUAGGAAUAAACCGCGUCCUCGGAGGAAAAACAAUCCUUCUCUUCCAGGCUCGUGAGAAUGGGGUUUCCCCACUCGUGUCCCGCCUGCCCCGGAGCCCCCCCCCCCCCCGCACCCCAAAAAAAGUCCCUUGAGCCCAAGACCCUGCAGGAGCGAUGGGUGGGGGACGGUGUCCUGGGGUGCCAGGGCUGAAGGGAACCUCAGCAGACCCCAGGUUGAGGGCGUUUCAGGGUUAACAAGGUUUUUUCUAUUGCCAGGGUGACGGGAAUUGAACUCUCCCCGCGAUUUAUUUUAAUUAGAACUAAAUAAUACGGCAUUAGGGAUCACCGAAGGAAUCUUAAGGGGAAGGAGGAGGAAGGGGAGAUGCUGAAGUUGGGUCAUUCCCGAGGCUUUGGGUCCGCGAGGUCCACUGACUCACCGGGAGAAAGGGCUGCGGCACCGACGGACGCUGCGCGUCAGCACAGGGUGGUAAAUCGCAGCUCGGCGUUGGUUCGUUGCAGGUUGCAGAGCCCUGGUGCAAUUAAAGGGACCCGUUUCCAGUCUUCUUAAGCAAAACUGGCAGUACUUGCAACAGGUGAGAAAUGCGUGCUGCAGACCCAAGACAGCAAACUGGUUCGCAGGCUGCAGUUUCCAUAUCGGUUCCUAAAGCUGCUUGUAGGAAAUCACUCAGCCUAAAGAAACUCCUGGGAUCCCAGCCUCUACUUCCCAUUUCAAAAUGCAUGGGAGAACUUGUCUGGCCUAUUGGGCGGGGAAUUUAAUUGCAAGAAGGCUCUGGAGGACGGAUGGUUGGUGCUGGAAGGUAGCUGUACCAUUAGCAUGUUACCCGCCCCCAAAAAGGAGAAUCCAGGCUCUAAUCCAUACCCCCAAGUCAUGCCAGCUAGCCGGGAACCAAAGCACGCCCACACUCGAGUUGGACACUUCUGUGCUCAGACAAGGAGGAUUACGGACAUCAUAUGACUAAUUCUGCAAUGACGGUAUAUGCUUAAUUGGUAAAGGACUGCAUUUUCUAUCUUUUUUUAAACCAGGGCAUAGCGUCAAAGGUCUGCCUGAUGUUUGAGGUUCCUUUCAGGUAUUUUCUUCAUUAAGACUCACUGUACUUAAGGUUACUGUGGCCGCUGGCUUUGUCUUACGCCAUUAAGUGCUACUGUGCUUUUUAGUGAUGAGAAACCAGCAUUCAAAUUGCCCUGAAACACCAGGCUGUGCUGCUCUUGCAGCUCGCGGAACAACUUCCCUGAACCUCAGGUACAAAAGCUCCGGCUGUUGCAAAAGCCGGUGGCCCGGAGUCAGGAAAAGCACAGUAUUGAAGUAAACAGACUACAGUGCCGAACUUUAGACGUUCAUUUUAAUGCCCUGCUUCCGAGCUCUCUGCCUCAGUUUCACUGUAAAAUACAAAUACAGCAUUGGUGAUGCUUAGCUCAUAAAAAAAAAAAUAAAUAUCUCUCUUAACUUCCAAGAAUGCAUGCUGCAGUAAGUUGAAGUCAAUGUACAUUCGGUGGAAGGAAGAUGUUUUCUAUCGGUUGAUGGUACUUAACCAUCCAAACAGAUUACCAAGUGCUAUGGCAGCAAAAUCCCUUCUGCUUGAAACAUUUAAGACUGCCUGGAUGCCAGUCAGGAAAAUGGGCUCCCAAAUUGGUGGUAGCAACACCAGAAUCGCUUCUUGGUGACAAUCCUGGUGACUGUGACAGCCUCCAGUAAUGGCAGUCUAGUAAUCUCUUGCUCUGUGCCCGUAAAGCACUCUGUCCUUCCAUUAAAAGCUGGAGGUAAAUAAAUACAGGUCCCAUCAUCAGAUCAUUUUGUUUGCAUAGACGUUAUCUACAGACCCUCUACGCGAGAUGGACGAGCAAGAGGGCAAAAGAAAAUCUUCCCAUCCUCGGUGUAAGGUUAGUCAGGGUGCAGCGCUGCAAGCUUGGGAGCUGCCGAGUCGCCCUGGUCAUUCGGGUUUGCUUUGCACAACAGCCGACGUUGCUGACACCGACUGGGGGUGGCAGGCGAAGGGCAAGGUGUUCAACCUCCUCUGUGCUUGGAGUGUGUCUGGACCAGGUUAGGGCAGCUUUAAGUGCCGCACUCUUUUGGGUGGCUGCCAGCAGAUCCCACGGGGUUUUGCAACACCUAAAAAAGAGCCUGAGAAUACAGCAACCCUUGAAUCUGCAGAGUGAGAACAGCAUGUUCUGUCACUGCCCUUAGACUGUUCCCUAAGAUUAUCCAUUUAAGUUGCCAUCCUCUGUAAAAGAAGAUAGUAGGUAUUGGCCCACAUUGUCUUCAGCUGUUGAUGUUUUACCUGAAAAUGCAAUGCAGGUGUUUUAAAGUGCAUCUGGUGGCUACAGCAGCCUGGAGCCAAGGCCUGUCAUCUCUCCAGCUCCCUCGCCUUCCUCCCUCCCCAGGUGUUUGGUUGGCAGAAGAACAUCUUUCAAAUUCCAAUAUUUUGUUUAAAAAGCUAGACUCGGGGGUUUUUAAACUGGUUGCAAUUAGGCUUUGACAUCGGGAAAGUUCAUACGGAGGUGCCGUGUCUCUCUCUGAAGUGGCUCUGCUUAAGAAAAGCAUCUGUAUCCCUCCUGCAGCCAGCUGGACUGCACUGGAGGGUUUACUUUCACUACUCUUACCUGUGGCCUUGUGCCUCCUGACACACUCGAGGCAUGUAUGGAAGGACCAAUAAAAUAUGUCCUGGAGUGUUUGGUGUAUUUUUAGAGUUUGUCCCAGAUUAUUGGCCUUUGUCCCAGAUUUCAGUGGUUAGGGUAUAAGAAUGCCCGGUGGGGCCGAGUGCUUCCUGCAUUGCUCUCAGGAAGGCUUUAAUCAGGAAAAAUACCCUCUCAGAGAAGGCAAAUAAUUAAGUUUUUGUGGCAAAUACUGCCAUUAGCAGGAGGUGAUAAACGCUCAAGACCACAGUAUAAAUAGAGCAAGGCAGAUGCACUAAGCUUUAGCGUGCAACAUUAUUGUGUUAGAUGGUACUGACUAAUGAAUUGGCCAUCACUAGCAAGGUAGUUUUCCUUUUGUCUUUAUUGGGACCAGAAUUUGUUUUUACACCAUAAAGUGUCUGUCUCUGCUGCUGCUCAUCAUGGGGAAAUGCUGGUGUAAACCGCCUGGGGGAAACUCGUCCCACACGCUGGCAGCUGGCAAUGUACAAGCAGGGAGCGAAUGUUGGAAGGGAUCUUCAGGUGUCAUCCAGUCCAUCCUCCUCCCUUUCGCAGUGUUUAUUCGACCUGUGUCAUUCCUAGGAAAUGCUCAUCCAACCUCUUCCUGCAGUGCUGGGCACUGCACAUUGCUCCAGGCUCCCAGGACAUCAUGAGCUUCACCUGCAGAACAGUUUUCCCCCUGCGUAACCUCAACCUUCUCUGCUGCAGUUUGGCCCUUACUGAGCACAUGGGGGACGGAUUCCUGCUUUUCUCUCUGCUCCAGCUUUUACCUGUUGGAAGAUUGUCUCUCUUCAGCCUGCCAAAGCCAAAACAGGCCAAUUCUUUUGUCCCUUCCUCGUAUUUCUGGCCGCGCAACACGACCCUUGCUCUAUCGUUUGGGCUGCUUAGCUGUAUUUCAAGGGCUAAAUUCCCUUGCUGAAGUCCUGGACUCCCCUUGUCACCAUCUGCAGCGUGCGCUCCUCAGCUCUGGGGGACUUCUCCUGGUUCAGCCCUCCCAGUUACACGGCAGGUCUUUGGGAUGCUGAAGGACUCCCUGAUGGACUCAUCCAGGCAAUAUCUGGCUUUCAUGGGCUUCCACCUUGGUCUUUCUUACCUCUUUACCCUCCCAUCAACUGCUUCUCGCCUAGCUGCCCUAGUGCCCUUUCUCAGACUAUUUCCUUAGCUUCAUAGCAUAGGACAUACCACAUGUCAUAAACAGGACAAAGUAUAAAAACUAUUCUGUUAAGAAUCCAACCACUGCUCCAUCAAUUUUGUAGAGAGACAGGAGUGACACAUUGCCAAUACAGAUGCAGGUAAAGUCCUGCUGCACUCGGUCAUGCCUGUGAGAAGAACCUGCUUUCCUUCCCAGCACUCCCCGGCAUUCAACUCUUGGACAUUUUGGCAUAUUAUCAGUGAUAAAUGUAUUCACAAGUGAGAGCAGCCAGCCCUGCAGGCUGUGAUGCCAGGGUAUUGUGGGUUCCUGGCAUGGGCAGUGCCUCUACGUGGAUUUUGGAAGAGCAAGACAGAAAUAUUUUUUGUAGCCAGCCUCAAGUUUUUAUCUAUUUGUAGGUGUCUUGAUGUCCCCUAAAUUGGGAUUAGGUCCUUUGGCAGGAAGACUGCACUUCAUGUCUUGACUUCCCUGGCCGCACAUCCACCCAACCCUCUCCUGGCGAAAGGCCACUGAUCUCCUCUUUUAUUUUUGCCACCAAAUGCCACUCACUUGUGUUGAGAAGGAGGAACUGGCAGCAAGGAAAUUAUCAAUAAUCCAGCAAGCCGCUAAUCUGUUUCCCAUUUUUUGUGGCCUAUCCAUGCUGUAGGAUAGUGCACAGACCCGUAAUUAUUCACCUACAGUAGUUUAAAUGGUUGCCAGUGGCUACUAACACCAGAUCUGAAAAGAAUUUAAUAAUGGAGGAGAAGAAAGAUUUUAAAAAAAAUAAGGAUGGCAUGGAAUAAGGAUGAGAAGGGUGAAGGACAUAUGGCAGAGGCACUGGUUGGGGGUAUUCCGGUGGCCUGGGUUCCAGCUCAAGCUUCUGCAGGAUCUCUGAUAGGCUUUGCUUUACUUAUCUCUUAAGUCCUGAUCAGAAUGGGAACAACGGGCUUUAUCCACAGAAGUAAUUAAAAUGUUGCACUCCCUGGCAGGGGAGUUAAAAUCAAUUUCUCAAAUACAAGAUGAGGAGCAAUUGGCCAGGCUGCUACCGUGCGGAAAAAGAUCCGGGGCUGCAAUGCAUGGGAGUACAGCAGAAAUCCAGUGCUGCAAAAAUCCAGCGGUCCUCCUGGGAUGCCUGUUCAGAGGGGCACACUGCAGAAGGCAUGGGACAAUCUUUCCAUUCAGCUUGGCAGUGGUGGGGUGUUGGCUCAAGAACAAUUUCCAUACCUCGGGAAAGACACAGCUCAGCUGGGAAAAGCCUGAAGAGGUGCAAAAAGAAUGAUUGGAGGUGUAGAAAACCUGCUUUUGAGGAAAGGCUGAGAGAGAGAGAAGUGUGUGGUCUGAAGAGGGGACCAAGCUGAGACAAAGCAACUUGCCAAAUCCGUGCAAGGCUGAUGCAAAGAGGCACAAUGUGUCCUUGUACCUUCUUCAAGUAGGGCGAGUGAUAGGCUUCAGCUCCAGCAGGAAAGUCGUAGGUAAAAGAUCAGGAAAAACUUUCCAGUGCUAUGGAUAGUUCAGCACAGGGAUAUAUUCCCACAGGCUGUUGUGGAAUUGUCACUGCGGGAAGGUGUUAGACAAAGAUCUUGCAGGGAUGGUUGAGGUAUUGUUGAUUGUACCUGGGGCCUCUUAGAAUCCUUUAUCCAACUUUCUUUUCCUGUUUCCUCCAGUUGCCACUGAAAUCAUUGGAAUUCAGCGCUUCAGCGUUUGGGAAGACCUGCCACAAUAGCAAUCCCCUGUUUGCAAUCAAGGAGAUCGCAAGAGCAAUCUCGUGCAUAUUUAGCUGAUGUGCAGCUCCUAGGAUUGUAGGGGUACAGAAACAAGCUAAGAAAUAAGUGUGCCAUAACUGUGGAAGUUGAUUAUUCUAGAGCAUUAAAAAUCCAGCCUUUCUUUGACAAGGAAACACUGCACAUGAGCGGAGCUUUUCCACGUGAAAUGUUGCAAAGGAAUCUCAGUUAUGUUUAGCGUUAGGGAGGCACAAAGGAAAUCUCAUUAGAACCCACUGACAAUGAUCUGUUAUAAAGGGAACAGGAGCAAUUCAUGAGCUCGGGGAAAAAUAAGAGUGCAUCUCUGUCCUGCCCCUGUCCUCACUGUCUGCUGCUACUCUAGGACACAGAUUUCUUGAGAGAAGGAUCUGUGCCUUCUUGCUCAUUUAGCUCUUAUACAUCAUGUUUUAUUUGCUAGGAGACCUGAACGAUGAGCAGCAAACACUCUUGUUCCUAUUUUAAAUGCAUGGGAACUGCAGUACAGAGAAAUAAAAUUACUUGCGCAGGGUCACAGAGCAAUUUUGUGGCAGGGCUAGGACCAGAACCCAGCUCCCUUGCUCCCAAACCUUCAUCUCUUCAUUGACCCUUAAUUUUAAUCACUUUCCAAGGAAGUCUGUUGGCCUCUUCCAGUUGACUUCCAUGGGAGUAAUGCCAGGUAUCAAAUGAAGUCACUGGGAAUAUCAAUGCAAAAGAAGCCAAUAUUAGAUGCAAAGAAAGAACUGAUGGAAGGGGAAAAAAUAGAUUUUACAAAAAAAGGAGUAAGUUCUAGUGCCGCUUCCAUAAUAUCAUUCCCUCUUUAAUUUGUGCCUGGUCAAAAUUAAAAAAAAAAUAGAUUGCUAAUAUUAAUAGAUGAAAUGAAUCUUGAAUUUUAUAAUAGUGGAGGAAAUGAAAGGACCAAAGUAAUAUUGUGUUGUUAACUGAGAUUUUAAUAAUGAUUCUGUCCUCAGUUGGUGCAUUUGUUCCACAGAAAGUAAAUCAUUAAUGAAGAGGGGGGGAAAACAGUUUUAUGGUGAUGGAUUUUUGAAAGAAAAGUUUAAUUUUGCUUAACUUUUAGAAACUCAGAAAUAUGCCUGGAGCUCUGAAACUAAAAGACAAACGCCUCCAAACCAGUCCACAAAGGAUGGGAGUUAGCCAAGUGGCUAACACUGCCUGGGGCAGGAUGGAGUAAUGUCCAUUGCUCCUCUCGGAGAGAGCUGAGGUGAGUGGAAGAGGUAGGUUAGAGAUGUUGGUUUUGAUGGAGGGAGGAAGGAAGGUUUGAAGGUUUGCUCUUGGUUGGUUGCGUUCUCAUAGCUAUUUCUGAAUGGCAUCUGGAGAGCACUAAGGACAUCAUCCUCACCCUAAACCAAAGGAGAUCUAACUGGGCUCAUCCUAUGGUUUCUGUGGACUUCUGCAAGAUCUGCUUCCACCACGUCCUCUGCAUGGGAUGGGUGGACUCAAACCACUCUCGGUGCCGUGAGGGUGUUUGACUUUCCAAGUGAAGAAAGAGCCUGCCAAGGCUAGCAUGUCCAGCGGUGGCUCUUGACCUACCCACCGCUAUCUUCAACCACCUCCAAGGAGUCCCAAAAAAACGGCUCCCUGGAGCAGCAAUGCAUUUCACACCAGGCCCCCGGUUUGAUAUGUUGAGCAUAGAAAGCAUCGCGGUCUCACAGCGGUGGAGAAGAAAAGCAUCUCUGUAGCUGGGAUUUGGUGCCUAAGAAAAAGCAAAUAUGGAACAUACGUGCCUGCAUGUGCAUGAAGGAGAUGGGGGGAAAACACAGAAUUCCCCUGAUUCCUUAACGAGCACAGCACCCCAACAACGAAUGUAGAAAUUUGCAAAUUAAAUGACAUUUUUGUAUGUAAAUUAUCAAAUCAAUAAAGAGAUGUAAACAUUAAACAACA